CAAAACAAACUUGUGAAACAAAGGCACGGUUGCAGCAUGGUUAUUCCUUUUUGAAACGAAGCCCCAGAGAAUUAAGUUUUGCUCCCUUAGAGAAAAAAACUGCUGAGUAAGCUGCAGACUCCUCGAAUCCUCUUCAGAGCCAGACCUGUCGAAAAUGGCCAUCGGCAAUAACCGUGUAAACUGCUUCGAAAGACCAAAAACCUGCACACUCGCGGGUCUCCGCUAGUCUCAGCUCCCAAAAGGGUGGCUCCCACCUUGUCCUCCUCUCCCUUUUCCCCAUUGUCUUCCCUUUCCAAUGAACGCCUUUCCUACACUCAUCUCCCAGGUCCAAACCGGGACCGCUCAGUGGCUCCAGCACACACCUGGGGUGACCAGUCCCUCGUCGGUACCUGCUUAGGGUCUGCGAAGGACCGUACCCUAAAGCGUAAUAGGUUCCUUAUCGUAGUCCUUCUGGGCGUCCAGGCCGCGCCCUCGCCAGAGUGGUGCCCCUGGUGGCCACCGAUCCCCAAGUGACAGCGGGAUCUCAGCAUCGGAAGGCGCCAGCAGCACGCGCGCGGUUCAUUACGGUCACGCGAGCCCGGGAACCCGGCGCAGGACCUGCGGUCUGGUGACGCCAGUUCAACUUCCAACGGCUGCCCUCAGUAAGCGCCGUGACCAACCUCCAGGACUGAACGCUGCUCCCGGUGAGCCCUCGUUCACCAUCCAGCCAACCUACAGAUUUCUACAUCGUCUCUGUGGCGCAAUCGGUUAGCGCGUUCGGCUGUUAACCGAAAGGUUGGUGGUUCGAGCCCACCCAGGGACGAGCAUUUUAAUCUCCCCUUGCUAUUCCUUGCUAUUCUAAAACACUUCAAUGAUACUAAAACCAUUCCAAUACACUUUACCCUUCCCUCAAGGUCAAGGUGAACAGGGAAUAACUUCCCUCAUCUACCUGAAGUCCAAGCAAGCCUACAGUAGUAUCCUUUCUUCAGAUUCACUUACACAAGUGAAGCCUUACUGUUUAGUUUUUCAGACAAGGCCUAAAAUAACCCAGGCUGGUCAGGAAUUUGAGAGACAGUUGCUCACUGUGUAGCCUCGGCUGGACUGGGAUUCGCAGAGAUCAAGAGCUGCUGUCUCUUGAGUGCUAAAAUUAAAGGCAUGUACCACCAUACCCA